AUUGAACGCUGGCGGCAUGCCUUACACAUGCAAGUCGAACGGCAGCGCGGACUUCGGUCUGGCGGCGAGUGGCGAACGGGUGAGUAAUGUAUCGGAACGUACCAUUCAGUGGGGGAUAACGCAGCGAAAGUUGCGCUAAUACCGCAUAUUCUGUGCGCAGGAAAGCAGGGGAUCGCAAGACCUUGCGCUGAUUGAGCGGCCGAUAUCAGAUUAGCUAGUUGGUGAGGUAAAGGCUCACCAAGGCGACGAUCUGUAGCGGGUCUGAGAGGAUGAUCCGCCAAACUGGAACUGAGACACGGUCCAGACUCCUACGGGAGGCAGCAGUGGGGAAUUUUGGACAAUGGGCGCAAGCCUGAUCCAGCAAUGCCGCGUGUGUGAAGAAGGCCUUCGGGUUGUAAAGCACUUUUAUCGGGAGCGAAGAGCGGACGGUGAAUACCCGUCCGUGCUGACGGUACCCGAGGAAUAAGCACCGGCUAACUUCGUGCCAGCCGCCGCGGUAAUAC
rnacentral:rRNA from 1 species